UAAGCAAGGUGUGAAAUCGUACGGCUCAACCGUAUACACAUACUUUGAACUGGUAAGCUAGAGUAUAUGAGAGGUCACUGGAAUUUCUAGUGUAGGAGUGAAAUCCGUAGAUAUUAGAAGGAACGCCGAUGGCGUAGGCAGGUGACUGGCAUAUUACUGACGCUAAGGCACGAAAGCGUGGGGAGCGAACGGGAUUAGAUACCCCGGUAGUCCACGCCGUAAACUAUGGAUGCUA
rnacentral:rRNA from 1 species